UACGUAGGUCCCGAGCGUUGUCCGGAUUUAUUGGGCGUAAAGCGAGCGCAGGUGGUUUAUUAAGUCUGGUGUAAAAGGCAGUGGCUCAACCAUUGUAUGCAUUGGAAACUGGUAGACUUGAGUGCAGGAGAGGAGAGUGGAAUUCCAUGUGUAGCGGUGAAAUGCGUAGAUAUACGGAGGAACACCGGUGGCGAAAGCGGCUCUCUGGCCUGUAACUGAUACUGAGGCUCGAAAGCGUGGGGAGCAAACAGG
rnacentral:rRNA from 1 species